rnacentral:rRNA from 1 species
UAGGGAAUCUUCCGCAAUGGGCGAAAGCUUGACGGAGCAACGCCGCGUGAGUGAUGAAGGUCUUCGGAUCGUAAAACUCUGUUAUUAGGGAAGAACAAAUGUGUAAGUAACUAUGCACGUCUUGACGGUACCUAAUCAGAAAGCCACGGCUAACUACGUGCCAGCAGCCGCGGUAAUACGUAGGUGGCAAGCGUUAUCCGGAAUUAUUGGGCGUAAAGCGCGCGUAGGCGGUUUUUUAAGUCUGAUGUGAAAGCCCACGGCUCAACCGUGGAGGGUCAUUGGAAACUGGAAAACUUGAGUGCAGAAGAGGAGAGUGGAAUUCCAUGUGUAGCGGUGAAAUGCGUAGAUAUAUGGAGGAACACCAGUGGCGAAGGCGACUCUCUGGUCUGUAACUGACGCUGAGGCUCGAAAGCGUGGGUAGCAAACAGG